rnacentral:tRNA from 1 species
AGGAUAAUAGCUCAGUGGUAGAGCACAUGCUUAGCAUGCAUGAGGUCCUGGGUUCAGUCCCCAGAACCUC